rnacentral:lncRNA from 1 species
GGAGGCCCGUUGGCUGUUCCCGCAAAGAGUGGGGGGCGCAUUUUCUCUCCUGCCAGCCCGCUCCAUCCUGGUCGUUUAUUCCCGGCCUUCCCUCACCCCCCACCCCCACAGCCUGCUGUACGUAAAUAGGCAAAUAGAUCUACAGGGACACAAUAAUUUAGCUUGGGGAAACCAGACGACCCAGCGGCCACGGGACGAGUCACCCCAACUCAACCCCAGCAGGACGCUGGAGGGGCCUCCCUUGCCCACCUCUCUUCGCUAGCACUGGCCUCCCGCACCUGGGUCUGCAGUCCCUCCGCCAUCUCACAAGUGUGCAGCCGCUAGGCCUGGGGGAUCCGAAUGACUGGGGCUGGAUAGGAAUGCCUUCGUGUUUCCCAAGACCCCCGGGCCUGCUCCACAAAGUUUGAAGGGAGCUCAGAGAUGCCCGGGAAGACGGGGGG